rnacentral:rRNA from 1 species
GUAGGGUGCAAGCGUUAAUCGGAAUUACUGGGCGUAAAGCGUGCGCAGGCGGUUGGGUAAGACAGAUGUGAAAUCCCCGGGCUUAACCUGGGAACUGCAUUUGUGACUGUCCGACUGGAGUACGUCAGAGGGGGGUGGAAUUCCGCGUGUAGCAGUGAAAUGCGUAGAUAUGCGGAAGAACACCGAUGGCGAAGGCAGCCCCCUGGGACGCAACUGACGCUCAUGCACGAAAGCGUGGGGAGCAAACAGGAUUAGAUACCCUGGUAGUCCACGCCCUAAACGAUGUCUGCCGGUUGUUGGGGAUUUCUAUCUUCAGUAACGAAGCUAACGCGUGAAGCAGACCGCCUGGGGAGU